rnacentral:rRNA from 1 species
AGUGAACGCUGGCGGUAGGCCUAACACAUGCAAGUCGAACGGCAGCACAGUAAGAGCUUGCUCUUACGGGUGGCGAGUGGCGGACGGGUGAGGAAUACAUCGGAAUCUACUUUUUCGUGGGGGAUAACGUAGGGAAACUUACGCUAAUACCGCAUACGACCUACGGGUGAAAGCAGGGGAUCUUCGGACCUUGCGCGAUUGAAUGAGCCGAUGUCGGAUUAGCUAGUUGGCGGGGUAAAGGCCCACCAAGGCGACGAUACGUAGCUGGUCUGAGAGGAUGAUCAGCCACACUGGAACUGAGACACGGUCCAGACUCCUACGGGAGGCAGCAGUGGGGAAUAUUGGACAAUGGGCGCAAGCCUGACCCAGCCAUACCGCGUGGGUGAAGAAGGCCUUCGGGUUGUAAAGCCCUUUUGUUGGGAAAGAAAAGCAGCAGGUUAAUACCCCGCUGUUCUGACGGUACCCAAAGAAUAAGCACCGGCUAACUUCGUG